CCUUGGGCUGGUUGAUGGUGAUGAAAGUUCAAUCUACAGCUGGAGUGGGAGACAGAGGGAUCCAGACUGACCAAACCAUCAUCUUCAACACGUGGCUCUGGGGGUUAUCCUGGGAUCCUGGGAGACAACAUCCAGCUGACACUAAGUAAGAGACCACAGGAUUGCACAGGUGGUUUUUUGUUUUUUGUUGUUGUUGUUUUUUAACAUGACUGAGGCAUACAAGUGGUAAACAUCAAUUCUGCCCAUAUUUUAUUGACCAGAAUUUAGUCAUGAGGCCUUACCUAGAUGCAAGGAAGUUGGGAAUGGACACACAGGCUCCAGGAAGCCGCCACUUCCGAGCCACAGCCAACCCACAAGGAAGAGAAGAUCUCCAGGGCAGCCUGCCAUCUUUACCACAGGGAAUUUGCAGAAACUCUUGCCAGAUGCAAAAAUUAAAGCUGGGAAAAAACCAAUGAAGAAAUUUGCCAAAACAUUUG
rnacentral:lncRNA from 10 species